rnacentral:rRNA from 1 species
UGUUUGAUGUUCUAACGUGGACCCGUUACCCGGGUUGCGGACAGUGUCUGGUGGGUAGUUUGACUGGGGCGGUCUCCUCCUAAAGAGUAACGGAGGAGCACGAAGGUUGGCUAAUCCUGGUCGGACAUCAGGAGGUUAGUGCAAUGGCAUAAGCCAGCUUGACUGCGAGCGUGACGGCGCGAGCAGGUGCGAAAGCAGGUCAUAGUGAUCCGGUGGUUCUGAAUGGAAGGGCCAUCGCUCAACGGAUAAAAGGUACUCCGGGGAUAACAGGCUGAUACCGCCCAAGAGUUCAUAUCGACGGCGGUGUUUGGCACCUCGAUGUCGGCUCAUCACAUCCUGGGGCUGAAGUAGGUCCCAAGGGUAUGGCUGUUCGCCAUUUAAAGUGGUACGCGAGCUGGGUUUAGAACGUCGUGAGACAGUUCGGUCCCUAUCUGCCGUGGGCGCUGGAGAACUGAGGGGGGCUGCUCCUAGUACGAGAGGACCGGAGUGGACGCAUCACUGGUGUUCGGGUUGUCAUGCCAAUGGCACUGCCCGGUAGCUAAAUGCGGAAGAGAUAAGUGCUGAAAGCAUCUAAGCACGAAACUUGCCCCGAGAUGAGUUCUCCCUGAGACUUAGAGUCUCCUGAAG